AGAAGGGGUGAAGAUUCAGCUGGCAAAUUUGAAGUAAUGGUGUUGCUGAGAAUUUGUGGUGCCAAUUUUUGUUGUUCUUCAAUUUGAUUGUUGAUAUCUUGAAAUCCUUUCUCCAACUCAUUUCUCAACUCCUUUACACAUGUGGAAAACUUGUGGAUUUGGGUGACACAUUGCUGAAGUUCUGAAGUAAUGUGAUCCUGACUUGUUUGAAAUGUAUGUUGACCAGCUUUGAUGUCCUGCUGGACUUCUGACUGGAGUUGAUCUACCAUGAAACGCAUUUCCGACACCAAGUGGUCAACAGAGUGAAGACUUGGCUUUUGUUAUCCUCCACUUUUACAGCAAGGUCAGCGAGCUGAUUUUUAUGGUGGGAAGAAGUGGCUUUCAUUUCUUGGGAGUUGGGAGGACGUUGGGUAGGUCAUGUUGUGCCACAGAAGAAGGAGUUCCACCUUCAGAUGAUGUGCAGAGUUGCAUAGGUUCUGGCUGAAAUGAAGCAGAGCCACCUAGAGGCAUGGAGGCAAAGUGCACCUGAGACCGGGGAUGGGGACUGCUGAAUUGAGUUGGGGUGAAGUGGAAAGUGGGAAACUGAGGUAGAA